GGGCUCGUGGUCUAACGGUAAGCAAUCAAAGGAUUACAUGUUUGACUACGUGCAGUGGCUAAUAUAUAGUGAUGUAGGUAUGAUUUUCCCUUAGCAUGGGAGAGGUCGAGGGUUCGACUCCCUCCGAGUCCA